rnacentral:rRNA from 1 species
GUAGUCUCGCACAGAUGCAUAUCAAUAAGCGGAGGAAAAGAAACUAACAAGGAUUCCCUUAGUAACGGCGAGUGAAGCGGGAAGAGCUCAAAUUUGAAAUCUUCAAGGCUUUACCUUGACGAAUUGUAGUUUAAAGAAGUGUUUUCUGUUGAAGUUUUGGUAAAAGUUCUUUGGAAUAGGACAUCAUAGAGGGUGAGAAUCCCGUAUUUGACCAUUAUUUUCAGCUGUGUGAUACACUUUCAAAGAGUCGGAUUGUUUGGGAAUGCAGUCCAAAAUGGGUGGUAAAUUUCAUCUAAAGCUAAAUAUUGGCGAGAGACCGAUAGCGAACAAGUACCGUGAGGGAAAGAUGAAAAGAACUUUGAAAAGAGAGUUAAACAGUACGUGAAAUUGUCAAAAGGGAAGCGUUUGACACCAGUGUUGUUUUCUCGAAAAUCAAUUAAAAAGAGUUAGAUUUUGUUGUGUAUUGACCUUAACAGCUUGCAUUUCAAUUUUCUUGCUUUUUUUAAUGCACUUUUCGUUUAACAAGUCAACAUCAGUUUCUUUUGUUGUAAAAAGGUCAUUGGAAGGUGGCUUUCUUUUCGGAGAAAGUGUAUUAUAGCCUUUGACUCCUGCAAUCGGAGAGACUGAGGUCUGCAGCGUAGAUCCUUCGGGGUUAGAUACAUUUGUGCUAAGUUAUAGCUUUUUAUAGACAACUUGUUGACUAUGAUUAGUCUUGUAGCUUACUCGCUUAUGCUAUUUUACCUACGCUUAGGAUGUUGAGCGCAUGUCUCUCUCU